rnacentral:lncRNA from 1 species
AUGGAGGCAGAGACAGUAGCAUCCUCUCCUUGCUCUUGCACUGAGAGGUAUUUUGGCAGCUGUGGACAGGCUCUAAGAUGGUGCUGUGAGCCCAAGAUGACUGCUCCUUCCAGUUCUGAAUGCGGGCUGCCUAGCAGAUGCUGUUCCCGAGCGGGAAGAGGCGAGCUGCCUAGUAAAAAUCAACAGAUGUUCAUGCACCUUCAGAAAGUGGCCAGUAUCCUUUUGGAACAAAGACGUGCUUUGUCUGUCUUCACACCCGCAGUGGCAGGCAAGCCAAGAUCCCCUCUGCAGGCAGCACGUGUCUGUCUGCUUUGA